rnacentral:rRNA from 1 species
CUACGGGUGGCACCAGUGAGGAAUAUUGCACAAUGGGGGGAACCCUGAUGCAGCAACGCCGCGUGGAGGAUGACGCAUUUCGGUGUGUAAACUCCUUUUAUGAGUCAAGAAAAUGACGGUAGCUCAUGAAUAAGCACCGGCUAACUCCGUGCCAGCAGCCGCGGUAAUACGGAGGGUGCAAGCGUUACUCGGAAUCACUGGGCGUAAAGGACGCGUAGGCGGGCUUGUAAGUCAGGUGUGAAAUCCUACAGCUUAACUGUAGAACUGCACUUGAAACUACGAGCCUAGAGUAUGGGAGGGGCAGAUGGAAUUAGUGGUGUAGGGGUAAAAUCCGUAGAUAUCACUAGGAAUACCGAAAGCGAAGGCGAUCUGCUGGAACAUUACUGACGCUAAGGCGUGAAAGCGUGGGGAGCAAACGGGAUUAGAUACCCUCGUAGUC